AAGAAGAAUAUUAAUGGAUUAGAACAAGAAUCAGAAUUAGAAUCCGUAGAGAAGAUCUUCGAGGCUAAAGAAGUACCUCCAUGGCAGAAUCAACUGACCUUGAGAGCCUUCGUUGUGAGCUUUAUUUUGGGGAUUUUGUUCAGCUUUAUAGUGAUGAAACUCAAUCUCACCACUGGCGUUAUUCCAUCCCUCAAUGUCUCUGCUGGUCUCUUGGGCUUCUUCCUCGUCAAGACUUGGACAAAGCUUCUCCACAGGGCUGGACUCUUAAAGCAACCAUUUACCCGUCAGGAGAACACCGUCAUCCAGACCUGCGUUGUCGCCACCUCCGGCAUUGCUUUUAGCGGUGGUUUUGGUAGUUACCUCUUCGCAAUGAGUGAAGCUGUGGCUAAACAGUCAACAGAAUCCAAUGCUGCACGGAACAUUAAGAACCCAUCACUGGGAUGGAUGAUUGGCUUUCUUUUUGUUGUUAGCUUUCUUGGCCUCUUCUCUGUGGUGCCUCUUCGGAAGAUAAUGAUUAUCGAUUUCAAAUUGAUCUAUCCAAGCGGCACUGCUACUGCCCAUCUUAUCAAUAGCUUCCACACCCCUCAAGGUGCCAAGUUAGCAAAGAAGCAAGUGAGAGAAUUGGGCAAGUUUUUCUCUUUUAGCUUCUUGUGGGGUUUCUUUCAAUGGUUUUUCACUGCUGGAGAUGACUGUGGAUUUAUAAACUUCCCCACGUUUGGUCUCAAGGCCUAUCAGAACAAGUUUUAUUUCGAUUUCUCUGCUACAUAUGUUGGUGUUGGGAUGAUCUGUCCAUAUCUAAUCAAUGUUUCUCUGCUAGUUGGGGCAAUCCUUUCAUGGGGUAUCAUGUGGCCUCUCAUAAACAAUAGAAAAGGUGAUUGGUACUCGGAAGAGCAUAGCUCCGGCCUCCAUGGCCUACAAGGUUACAAGGUCUUCAUAGCCAUAGCAAUGAUCCUCGGUGAUGGUGCCUACAACUUCUGCAAAGUCAUUGGCCGUACUCUAUUUGAUCUGUACCAGCUCUCCAACGCUUUCUUACGAUGACCAACGUCGAUCAGAACUAUUUCUCAGAGAGCAAAUCCCAUCGUGGUUCGCUGUUGGUGGCUAUGUCAUUGUUGCAAUGAUCUCUGCGAUUACAGCUCCUCACAUUUUCCAUCAGCUUAAGUGGUACUAUGUUGCAGUGAUUUACAUCAUCGCGCCAGUUCUAGCCUUUUGUAAUGCUUAUGGAUGUGGACUAACAGAUUGGUCCCUGGUAUCCACCUACGGAAAGCUAGCAAUCUUCACAAUUGGAGCAUGGGCAGGAGCUGCUAAUGGUGGGGUUCUUGCAGGUUUAGCAGCAUGGCGGGUGAUGAUGAACAUAGUAUCCACAGCAUCUGACCUUAUGCAGGACUUCAAGACAGGUUACAUGACAUUAGCUUCACCAAGGUCAAUGUUUGUGAGUCAAGUUAUUGAAACUGCAAUGGGUUGUGUCAUUUCGCCCUGUGUUUUCUGGCUCUUCUACAAGGCUUUCCAUGACCUUGGCCUUCCUAACUCAGAAUAUCCAGCUCCUUUUGCUCUUGUUUAUCGAAACAUGUCGAUUCUAGGGGUGGAAGGGUUCUCAGCCUUACCAAAGCACUGUCUUACGCUCUGCUACAUAUUCUUCGCUGCAGCAAUAGUUAUCAAUGCCAUUAGGGAUACAGUGGGAAAGAAGAGAGCUCGGUUUAUCCCUAUUCCAAUGGCAAUGGCAAUACCCUUCUACAUCGGAGGCUACUUCGCUAUUGACAUGUGUAUUGGGAGCUUGAUAUUAUUCAUCUGGCGGAAGAUUAAUAAGGCCAAGGCCGAUGCAUUUGGACCUGCUGUAGCUUCUGGGUUGAUAUGUGGAGAUGGAAUAUGGACUUUGCCUAGCUCCAUACUGUCUUUGGCAGGUGUGAAGCCACCAAUCUGCAUGAAAUUUCUUUCCAGAAACCAAAAUGCGAAGGUGGACGGUUUCUUAAAUUCUUAGAUGAAGGCUACAACUUAAAUUUUCUCUUCCAAUUUAUGUUUAGUGUUUUUUCCCUUCAGUGACAAUGCCUUCAUUUUUUUUUUCAAUGCAAGUGUAUAUUUUUCAUAGCUUUGUUUUUACAAGAUAAUAUUAUAUCUAGUAUUGCAUUUUAGUUGUGUAUCAGUCGAG
rnacentral:misc_RNA from 1 species